rnacentral:rRNA from 1 species
UACGUAGGGUGCAAGCGUUGUCCGGAAUUAUUGGGCGUAAAGAGCUCGUAGGUGGCCUGUCGCGUCGGCUGUGAAAACUCGGGGCUCAACUCCGAGCUUGCAGUCGAUACAGGCAGGCUAGAGUUCGGCAGGGGAGACUGGAAUUCCUGGUGUAGCGGUGAAAUGCGCAGAUAUCAGGAGGAACACCGGUGGCGAAGGCGGGUCUCUGGGCCGAUACUGACACUGAGGAGCGAAAGCGUGGGGAGCGAACAGG